rnacentral:rRNA from 1 species
AGCAGUGGGGAAUUUUGGACAAUGGGCGCAAGCCUGAUCCAGCAAUGCCGCGUGAGUGAAGAAGGCCUUCGGGUUGUAAAGCUCUUUUGUCAGGGAAGAGACGGUGAGGGCUAAUAUCCCUUGCUAAUGACGGUACCUGAAGAAUAAGCACCGGCUAACUACGUGCCAGCAGCCGCGGUAAUACGUAGGGUGCAAGCGUUAAUCGGAAUUACUGGGCGUAAAGCGUGCGCAGGCGGUUUUGUAAGUUUGUCGUGAAAGCCCCGGGCUCAACCUGGGAAUUGCGAUGAAGACUGCAAGGCUUGAAUCUGGCAGAGGGGGGUAGAAUUCCACGUGUAGCAGUGAAAUGCGUAGAGAUGUGGAGGAACACCGAUGGCGAAGGCAGCCCCCUGGGUCAAGAUUGAUGCUCAUG